AGAGUUUGAUCCUGGCUCAGAUUGAACGCUGGCGGCAUGCCUUACACAUGCAAGUCGAACGGCAGCACGGGGGCAACCCUGGUGGCGAGUGGCGAACGGGUGAGUAAUAUAUCGGAACGUGCCCUGGAGUGGGGGAUAACGUAGCGAAAGUUACGCUAAUACCGCAUACGAUCUACGGAUGAAAGUGGGGGAUCGCAAGACCUCAUGCUCGUGGAGCGGCCGAUAUCUGAUUAGCUAGUUGGUAGGGUAAAAGCCUACCAAGGCAUCGAUCAGUAGCUGGUCUGAGAGGACGACCAGCCACACUGGGACUGAGACACGGCCCAGACUCCUACGGGAGGCAGCAGUGGGGAAUUUUGGACAAUGGGGGCAACCCUGAUCCAGCAAUGCCGCGUGAGUGAAGAAGGCCUUCGGGUUGUAAAGCUCUUUUGUCCGGGAAGAAACGGCGAGCUCUAAUACAGCUUGCUAAUGACGGUACCGGAAGAAUAAGCACCGGCUAACUACGUGCCAGCAGCCGCGGUAAUAC
rnacentral:rRNA from 1 species